UUGCCCUGUGUCUCUUGCAUGGUAACAAGCCAGCCUCAACUGCUUGAGCUAAGAGCAAGCUCAGUGUUUCCUUCAAGCAGCAUCGUGGACAGAUUCCUGCCAGACCCUUCAGAGCAAGCACCCCACACCCCUAGCCCAGGGUCUCUUCAUCGAUAGGGGGUGAUCUGUCUGCCCCUCACUGUUUUCUCCAAAUAGCAUCUCCAAAUGGACUAGACUCGACAAGCAAACAGUCUGCAGUGGACCCCUUGGGUCAUCCAUUCUGAUGGAAACAAUAAUGACAGUAAUUCGCAUCACUAACCUUCCCUGAAAGCUUACUACAUGUCAGGAAGUGCUAUUCUAAAAGGGCUUCACAUGUAUUCAUUCAUUUCAUCCUCCUGACAAUCCUGUGAUACAGGUGUUUUUGUUAUGAGUCCUAUUUCAACAAAGCACAAGUGAAUACAGAAAUAGAAUUCCAGCCCGGUGGAGUGGAGAAGGCUCCAGGAGGGCGUCGGGCCCAACCACCUUGCGUUAUGGAGCACAGAGAGGGAUUCUGCUGUGGUCACAUAGCACCUAAGUGGUUGCAGCAGCCUCAGAACAGGCUGUCCUGCCUGAGUCGUUCCUCGUGAUCACUGCUGGCGUUUCUCCUGCUGGCCUUCAUGGCAAGGCUGAUGGCCAGGGCACACAGGAGCAACGGCACUGCUGGUCUAGCAAGUACCACUCUCUGGCCUGCUCCACAGCCCGGCCACAGCAAGGGAGGUGAGUCAUUCUCCGCUGACAGAUGCAGUCACUCCACAGAUGCUUUCCAUCUUUGCUAAUUAAUUCUGCACUUAAGAUAAUCCAAGGGCUCUAAGUUCUGGUCUUGCCUCUACUCCUGACCCAUCCUGUAACCUUGGGUAAAUCACUUCCCCUUGGUUGGGCCUCAGCUUCUCUCUCUACAAAAUGGGUAUAUUGAUUGAAACCAGGGGUUGCAAAUUCAAAUACUCAUAGGUACCAUCAAUGAAUAAGGCAGUCCCG
rnacentral:lncRNA from 1 species